rnacentral:rRNA from 1 species
UCGGGAAUUUUGGGCAAUGGGCGAAAGCCUGACCCAGCAACGCCGCGUGAGGGAUGAAGGCCCUCGGGUCGUAAACCUCUGUCGGGAGGGAAGAACGGUUGUCCUUCAAACAGGAUGGCAGCCUGACGGUACCUCCAAAGGAAGCACCGGCUAACUCCGUGCCAGCAGCCGCGGUAAUACGGAGGGUGCGAGCGUUGUUCGGAAUCAUUGGGCGUAAAGCGCGUGUAGGCGGCUUGGUAAGUCGGGUGUGAAAUCCCGGGGCCCAACCCCGGAACUGCAUUCGAAACUGCCUCGCUAGAGUCCCGGAGAGGAAGGCGGAAUUCCCGGUGUAGAGGUGAAAUUCGUAGAUAUCGGGAGGAACACCAGCGGCGAAGGCGGCCUUCUGGACGGUGACUGACGCUGAGACGCGAAAGCGUGGGGAGCAAACAGGAUUAGAUACCCUGGUAGUCCACGCCGUAAACGUUGGGUGCUAGGUGUCGCGGGUAUUGACCCCUGCGGUGCCGUCGUUAACGCAUUUAGC